rnacentral:rRNA from 1 species
CAGCAGCCGCGGUAAUACGGAGGGUGCGAGCGUUAAUCGGAAUAACUGGGCGUAAAGGGCACGCAGGCGGUUAUUUAAGUGAGGUGUGAAAGCCCCGGGCUUAACCUGGGAAUUGCAUUUCAGACUGGGUAACUAGAGUACUUUAGGGAGGGGUAGAAUUCCACGUGUAGCGGUGAAAUGCGUAGAGAUGUGGAGGAAUACCGAAGGCGAAGGCAGCCCCUUGGGAAUGUACUGACGCUCAUGUGCGAAAGCGUGGGGAGCAAACAGGAUUAGAUACCCGCGUAGUCCCUGUCUCUUAUAC